rnacentral:rRNA from 1 species
GACGAACGCUGGCGGCGUGCUUAACACAUGCAAGUCGAACGGAAAGGUCCUGCUCUUGCGGGGCGCUCGAGUGGCGAACGGGUGUGUAACACGUGAGUAACCUGCCCUUGUCUUUGGGAUAACAUCUGGAAACUGGGGCUAAUACCGGAUAGGAGCUCUUGCUGCACGGUGGUGGUUGGAAAGUUUCGGCGGUUGGGGAUGGACUCGCGGCUUAUCAGCUUGUUGGUGGGGUAGUGGCUUACCAAGCGUUUGACGGGUAGCCGGCCUGAGAGGGUGACCGGCCACAUUGGGACUGAGAUAGGGCCCAGUAUCCAACGGGAGGCAGCAGGGGGAAAUAUGGCACAAUGGGGGGAAGCGUGAUACAGAGACGCCGGGUGCGGGAUGACGGCCUACGGGUUGUAAACCGCUUUCGCAUGUAACGAAGCGUGAGUGACGGUAAUGGGUAAGGAAGCACCGGCUAACUACGUG